rnacentral:misc_RNA from 1 species
GAUGAAGACGUAGCAAAAUGCGAUACUUGGUGUGAAUUGCAGAAUCCCGUGAACCAUCGAGUUUUUGAACGCAAGUUGCGCCCGAAGCCUUUUGGCCGAGGGCACGUCUGCCUGGGCGUCACGCAUCGCGUCGCCCCCCACAAUUCUCCGUAAAGGGAACAUGUGUUUUGGGGGCGGAUAUUGGUCUCCCGUGCUCAUGGCGUGGUUGGCCGAAAUAGGAGUCCUUUCGAUGGACGCACGAACUAGUGGUGGUCGUAAAAACCCUCGUCUUUUGUUUCGUGCUGUUGCUCGCAAGGUAAACUCUUUAAAAACCCCAAUGUGUCGUCUCUUGACGACGCUUCGACCGCGACCCCAGGUCAGGCGGGACUACCCGCUGAGUUUAAGCAUAUCAAUAAGCGGAGGA